rnacentral:rRNA from 1 species
AAUAGAUACCCCGGUAGUCCACGCCCUAAACGAUGCUCACUAGGUGUUGGGGAAGCGAUUCCUUGGUACCGUAGCUAACGCGUGAAGUGAGCCGCCUGGGGAGUACGGCCGCAAGGUUAAAACUCAAAGGAAUUGACGGGGACCCGCACAAGCGGUGGAUGAUGUGGAUUAAUUCGAUGCAACGCGAACAACCUUACCUACCCUUGACAUGUCCGGAAGCCUGCUGAAAGGUGGGUGUGCUCGAAAGAGAACCGGAACACAGGUGCUGCAUGGCUGUCGUCAGCUCGUGUCGUGAGAUGUUGGGUUAAGUCCCGCAACGAGCGCAACCCUUGUCCCUAAUUGCUACGCAAGGGCACUCUAGGGAGACUGCCGGUGACAAACCGGAGGAAGGUGGGGAUGACGUCAAGUCCUCAUGGCCCUUAUGGGUAGGGCUUCACACGUCAUACAAUGGACGGUACAGAGGGUUGCCAACCCGGCGAGGGGGAGCCAAUCCCAGAAAGCCGUUCGUAGUCCGGAUCGCAGUCUGCAACUCGACUGCGUGAA